rnacentral:tRNA from 1 species
CGCCUGUGCGGCCUGCGGGAAGGCCCGGUCGCUGAAAUCCUCCGGGAUGAUGACGAGCACGGCGACCUCGUCGCGUUCGACGCGCGCGCGGGCAGC